UACGUAGGGUGCGAGCGUUGUUCGGAAUUACUGGGCGGAAAGCGUGUGUAGGCGGUCUCUUAAGUCGGAUGUGAAAGCCCCGGGCUCAACCCGGGAAGUGCACUCGAAACUGGGAGGCUAGAGUACUGGAGAGGUUGGUGGAAUUCUCGGUGUAGAGGUGAAAUUCGUAGAUAUCGAGAGGAACACCGGUGGCGAAGGCGGCCAACUGGACAGAUACUGACGCUGAGACACGAAAGCGUGGGGAGCAAACAGG
rnacentral:rRNA from 1 species